GCUGUUGUAGCUCAGGUGGUAGAGCGCUUCCUUGGUAAGGAAGAGGUUCGGCAGUUCAAGUCUGCUCAACAGCUCCA
rnacentral:tRNA from 1 species